GCAGCGAAUCCGCGAGGAGGAGCGAAUCACAAAACUCGGUCCCAGUUCAGAUUGCAGGCUGCAACUCGCCUGCAUGAAGUUGGAAUUGCUAGUAAUCGCGAAUCAGAAUGUCGCGGUGAAUACGUUCCCGGGCCUUGUACACACCGCCCGUCACACCAUGAGAGCCGGGGGGACCCGAAGUCCGUAGCUUUAACCUUAACCGGAGGGCGCGGCCGAAGGUAAACUGGUGAUUGGGGUGAAGUCGUAACAAGGUAGC
rnacentral:rRNA from 1 species